rnacentral:rRNA from 1 species
AUUGAACGCUAGCGGCAUGCCUAACACAUGCAAGUCGGACGAGUGGCGGACGGGUGAGUAAUGUAUGGGGACCUGCCUGAUGGCGGGGGAUAACUACUGGAAACGGUGGCUAAUACCGCAUACCAUCAGAUGAACCCAUAUGGGAUUAGCUUGUAGGUGGGGUAACGGCUCACCAAGGCGACGAUCCCUAGCUGGUCUGAGAGGAUGAUCAGCCACACUGGGACUGAGACACGGCCCAGACUCCUACGGGAGGCAGCAGUGGGGAAUAUUGGACAAUGGGGGCAAGCCUGAUGCAGCCAUGCCGCGUGUAUGAAGAAGGCCUUCGGGUUGUAAAGUACUUUCAGUCGGGAGGCGGUACCGGCAGAAGAAGCACCGGCUAACUCCGUGCCAGCCGCCGCGGUAAUUC